AGCGAACGCUGGCGGUAGGCCUAACACAUGCAAGUCGAACGGCAGCACAGUAAGAGCUUGCUCUUACGGGUGGCGAGUGGCGGACGGGUGAGGAAUACAUCGGAAUCUACUUUUUCGUGGGGGUUAACGUAGGGAAACUUACGCUAAUACCGCAUACGCCCUACGGGUGAAAGCAGGGGAUCUUCGGACCUUGCGCGAUUGAAUGAGCCGAUGUCGGAUUAGCUAGUUGGCGGGGUAAAGGCCCACCAAGGCGACGAUCCGUAGCUGGUCUGAGAGGAUGAUCAGCCACACUGGAACUGAGACACGGUCCAGACUCCUACGGGAGGCAGCAGUGGGGAAUAUUGGACAAAGGGCGCAAGCCUGAUCCAGCCAUACCGCGUGGGUGAAGAAGGCCUUCGGGUUGUAAAGCCCUUUUGUUGGGAAAGAAAAGCAGCAGGUUAAUACCCCGCUGUUCUGACGGUACCCAAAGAAUAAGCACCGGCUAACUUCGUG
rnacentral:rRNA from 1 species